rnacentral:lncRNA from 10 species
GGCUUUCCACUUCAACGGCAAAGUGUCAGAGGUAACACAACUGACCAGAAGAAAAACAGCCUAGAUCCUGAGCAUUCAGCCUGUGUCUUCACACAACAAACACCACCUGAGUCCCAUCAAAGCCUGUGUUGUUUCCCAACAUCCACCAUUGAGACAUAUUCCAGAGCAGCCUCUCAAAAUCACCUAAACAAGAUGGAACAAGAAGGUGGAGCCAGACGUACAGGGCGGAACAUGAAAGUGGACCAGGAGCGUGACCGCUGAAGCACAGCACCACAGGAAGAGGUUUAGGCCUCUGGAUGACUGCGGGCGGGCCUGACUCAUGUCAGGCCUUCCACAAGAAGUGGUGGAGCAGAGUCUUCCCCAACUCUCCCAGGGAAAGGGAGACUCCCUUUGCCGGUCUGCUAAGUAACCGGUGCCUUCCCAGGCACUGGCGUUACCGCUAGACCAAGGAGCCCUCUAGUGGCCAUGUCUGGGCAUAACUGAGGGCUCACACUCUUCUGGUCACUUAUCACCCUUCAGCUCCUAUCUCUGUAUGGCCUGGUCUUUCCUAGGUUAUAAUUGUAGAACGGACAUUAUUAUAAUAUUGGAAUAAAGAGUAAUGCUACAAACUAAUAAUAAUAAUAUUCAUAUAUAAUCAUAUCUAUAUUCUAUUUCUAGUAUGACUAUUCUUAUUCUCUAUAUUUUCUUUAUUAUACUGGAACAACUUGUGCUUUCUAUCUCUUGGCUCAGCACCUGGGUGGCUUGCUGCCCACAAGAAUAGCCCAUCCUAAUUUUUUGUUUUACAUCUACUAUAAAUCAAAUAGAUUUUGUUCCAUAUUUUAUAGUGGAAUUUAAGAUGAAACCCACAUUGUUAAAUAUGUGAGAUUGAUUAUAAGCUCAUCAAGGAGGUUUUUACUCAGUGAGGGAAUUCAGAGAACAUAAAGUUGCAAAGGCAGAAGCAAAUGUUUUGAAUGAAUUUUGAGAGACAAUACUAACAGAAGUGCUUCCCACUUUUAUGACUCAUAUGACUCAUAUGAUCUUUCUGUAGGAAAAACUGCCUCUAAUUGUAGACACUGGUUCAUAGCAGAUGCUAAAUGAACCAG